rnacentral:snoRNA from 1 species
GGACAGCCAAGGACACACAGAGAAACCCUGGCUUGAAAAAAAAAAGUAAUAUGGGACCUUGUGUGCAAUGGCUGCAAAUGGCAGCCUUCGGCUGGAUGUGCAUGUAGCCUAUAUAGGUUCCCCUAAGGGACUUUGGAGACAAUU